UUCGACACAGCUGCCUGCCAAGACAGUUGACCAAGUUCAGCCAGCCUCUGCCCCAGGGAGAAGGCUUCAGCACUGUCAGAAAGACAGUCAAAUGUGCGGGUGUCCGCUGGGGGCAGGUGGGCAGAGAAACCCAGCUACUGUGUGUAAACCUGGUAAAGCCAACCCAGGGCAGCCUCACAAACGAAAGUGGAGGGGAGAUGCGACCAACCAGGCAAUCAAAAUGUCCCUCCCUGCUUCUGCUUCUCUCCACGGCGAGCCUGGGCCAGGGUUCCUCCUACACCCCAACUAUCCCAGCGUGGACACCCCCCAGAGGAAGGAGUCCUUUCUGAGCGGUGGUGAGGUACCUGCCAGGUGAUGCCCAAACCUUUGUUCCUGCUUCACUUCCCACGGCUUUUGACCUCACAGGAAGUCAUCUGGGAGCAGAGCAGGCUCUAAGACGACUCUUUGCCCCCAUUCUCCAACAAGGUCCUCCCGGAAUGGAAGGAGCCUGGGAAGUAAGGGCUAGAACUCACCAUGUAGAUCAAGCGAGACUUGAAUUCAGAGAACCGCCUGCCUGUGCCUCCAGCAUGCUGGGUGGCGUUCAAGGUGUGCAUACCUGGCUCAUGGAUUUCUUGGCAUGCCCCUGUCUUGUCACUGCCCACCACACUAGGUACUGACAGAUGGCCAAGAACAAAGGGUCUCCAGCUGUUUUCUUAAAAAUUAUUUGUGUAUGUGUAUGUGUGUGUCCUCAGAGUCAGAAAAGAGUGCCAGGGCCCCUAGAGCCGCAGAUAAAGGCAGCUGUAACUCGUUCUGUGCGGCUCUGGGAAAAAAUACCUGGGAUCCUUGGGUAGCAAGUGAUCUUAACCACCGAGCCAUCUCUCCAGACGCCAGCUAUUCUAACGAACGCACUGGCCAUCCAGCCUGUCUGCCUUUCUCUAACAUCCCCCUGGGUAAGGACUGUGGCUGAGCAGCGCCACAGAGCAACUGGCUUGCUCUCAAACAUCACAGUGUUAGCAAACCGUUACACCAAUGCACCAAGCCCAGCCUUGCAGUCUGUGGCUGCUGGCUCCGUCUUAGAAGUACUCAGCAUGCAUUAUCUCUGGGCAUCCCCUGGCCUGGAUGUGUGUGGCUUAGGUGACAUCUAAAAGGUCCUAUCGCUUGUCUUCAGUCCACUUUAAGGAUCUGCUCCAACAGGUGUUUGAUCCAGGGCCCACUUAACCCUGGCAAAGGUUGCUCAGUAUGUGCCCCCAGGGACAUGCCCAUGUCCCUCGGUGCCAUCCAGAGGCAGGCCAAGCAAGGGACUGAACUGCUCAGAAGCCAACACAAGUUCUUGACUCUGCUGGCCUCCUAUUGCUCCCGGCAGGGUAAGCUCACCCUGACUGAGAUAAAGUUUCCCUGGGCCCAAGUUCCAAACUCGGCUGUUUUGUUUCUGUUAAAAUGCAAUUGUUUUUCUCUGGAGUGUUCGGUGACUGCUCCGCGUCAGGAAGAUGUAUGAAAAUCCCCACUUCAAUUCGGCAUCCCUUUUCUCCCAGACAAACAUGGUCGGAUUUUAAUAAAUCAAAGAGCUACAGUGUUUAAUAAAAAUUUAUUGACUUACAAGUGAUUAUUUAUCAAAAGACCAUUAAUAGCAGGUACUGAAAUGAUGUGUUACUGGGUGGUGCUGAGAGACUAAUAGGAAAUCAAUGCUACUGGCCGGACAGAAUGCAUAUGAGGGGCCCACCCCCCCCAACAGUGAGCAAAAUUUCACCAGCAAAAUACACCAGACGCUAGCCCCUGUGCAGUGAAAAGUCCCUCCUUUUUAUUUAUUGUUUACAAAUGAAAUAAUCAAUACUUUUAAUCUAGAGGAAAAUUUAUUAACUUUCCCAUCGGAGAGAGACAUAUUGACUGGGGGAGAGGGGAGUGGGUGCGGUGAGAGACGGAUGGCUGGAUGGUCAUCUCUUAGCCUGUCCAAGAGUCUGUGCGUGAACUGGGAUAGCCCAGGCCACACGGGAUGUUGCGCCCGGAGAAACUGAGUCUGGCAACUAAGAUGUACAGCUGGGGCCAGCAGUGAACAGCAACCCAGACUGUAAAUGCUAGAAGGCAGGAGAGUUUAUAGACCCAGAUCCCCACAAGGCACUUGUCAGUUCAAGAUCUAAAAGCCCCUUGCUGUUGUCCUGGCCCACCAUCCCUCAAACCGUAAGCUCUCCAUCUCUGAAGGGUACCAAAAGGGAGUGGUUCUCACACGGAAUUCAGCUCCAUCAAAGCUCUACCCGGGGGCCCUGGCCAGGCUGACACCGUCUGGUGGGCCUCCCUCCUCUUUCCAGGGUGGGGGUGCAUUUUAGUAGCCCGAUUAACGAAUUCUUUACCUAGCUGGUAAGAAGUCAUCAUGUCUGGGUGAAAACUGUGACCUGCAAUCCCAACUACCCAGCAGGUUUGGCCCCAGCACAAAUCCCCCGGGGUGGGGGCAGUGGUUAGCGUCCCAAGUUGGAGCGAAUAGCUCAAAAUGGACUUGUUUCAGAACCACACAAUUUUAGGGCUCAGAGCUUACAUCUGAGCGAUGAGCUUUUAGAUGAAAUCUGAGCUGCUGUAAGAGCUCGGUCAAUAAAGCGCUUGCACUGCAAGCAUGGAGACCCGAGUUCCAGCCCCUAGGAAGGUGGAUUCUACUUUCAGUCACAAUGCUGGAGAGGUAGAUCGAGGCAGGAGAUUCGCUGGCCAAUCAGCCUAAGCCAGUGAGAGAUUGUGCCUCAAAAUCAAGGAGAAUGGACCCUGAGACUGUCCUCAGGCCUCCACACCCGCCACACCCACACACACAUGUACAUGCACACAUAUACACAUGCACACAUGUACAUGCACACACACUUGCACACAUACAUACUGAGAUAUCAGAGGUGCAUAAGGUCUCAGAAGUCAAUCUGGCCAGAGAGCAGCAGGCUGACAAACUGGAGGGAAGCUCUCUAGUACCCAGGCUGUGCCCGGGAACCUACUUUCUUCUUCCAUGGUGCAGAGUUUAUAUGUAAGACCAACCCUGUACCAAUGAGGAGCCUGUGGGAAGCAGCAGAGCAGCUGGACGCGUGCUGAGCAAGGCCCCGGGAACUGCACCCAAUUCUUCUCUGCUGCAGCCCAGGUGAGUGGGAGGGGAGCCAGGUCAAAACCAGAUUGAAAACUCUACCCAGACCGUGAGUCAAAGCAAUAAACCACAAGCAUGUGUUAAGGGACACCUGACCCUAGACAAUUUCAAGGGACAGCAUUGAAACACUACGGACAUUCUACACAAGCAGCAGCCCACCUUUUAUUUUUAAGCAUUUGCAAAAUAGUUCCCAAGAGGCUGUUCUUAAGAGUCAGAGGUGUUUUUAUUUGAAAAAGUGUUUUCCACUGGGAACGGAGCAGGCAGGAGGAACUGUGAGGCUGGGGAGCUGGCAGGAAGUUAGGGUGACACCACAGGGUCCUCAAGUAUCAGAGUGGCAUCAGUUCAUAGUCUCGGGAGCCAGGCUGCCCUCCUACAACAUCCUCAGAUCCCAGACCUGAAGAUGGAAUAUCUCCAUCACUUGGAAAAGUGCCAUCACGGAACAGUGGCACGUGGGUAGGUGGGUAAUCUUCCUUUGGAGGAAUUCAAAGCUGGUGGACCUCAGAAGGAAGGACAGAAGGCUGACUGCAUCUGCGGAGUGCCCUGCAGGCCUGCCUUGUCCCUUGCAGUCACGGCACACGCAGUGUGCCCAUCCCUCCUGACUCACCAGUUCUUCCCAGCACCUCUGCGCCAUCCUUGCCCCCACUACUCGCUGUUCUCCACCACGCUUGAACCCAGAAUGCCUCUGACAGGACCCUUUCCCCCAAUCUCAUCAACCUCAGCUUGGUUCCCAUGGCUCUUAUCUAGGAGAAAUCUGUGUCUAUGCUAGGAAUAACAGAGAUGUAAAAACACCCAACAUGAGCCUACCCUGUCCUGAGCCUCUUCUCACUUCAGAGUGGGGCAGAGACCCAGCCAUCCAGUCAUUUUCCAGUACAAAGGUUGUUAACCGGCAAGAAAUACAUUUCUCAGGAAUGAAGGCAAAGUCCCUAAAUUCAUUUACCAUCCAGUUUUAUUUACUCACAAACAAUUUUAAAAUCCUGGGCAGCAGCUGUAGCUCUGACCUUGUCCUGCCACGCUCUCUGAAGCUGUCCCUGGGAGAGCAGCACACAUUUCCUUCACACGCACUAGCACUGGAAUCCCCACAACAACCCUGUGAGGUAGGCACACCACCAUCUCUCUCCGCAAUUCCAUGG